rnacentral:lncRNA from 1 species
AAUAAGCAUGGCUUAGUGUGCUAAGAGCCUCCAGACAGUCUGAGGCUGAGGAGCAUUCAGGCAAAGCAUCUCGACAGAAUAACAAACGGCCUCAGCACUUUACCUCAUCGCUGGAAUUCACAUGAACUCUGCAGAAUUUGAGGAAAAGCAACGAGACAAAACAUAAAUGAGGAGAAAAUAGAGGCCCUGAAUUAAUGAGAUGUGGAUGGAAGUGGGAAGAGAUGCCGAAAUUUUGCAUCCCGACCGGACGUUCACCAUCUUUGCCUGCAAAAAGAAUCAGCGGUAUGAUGGGGUUACAGCCACAGGCACAAACAAGUGAAAUCAUGGACAGACAGACUGGCGAUCACAGCAUCAUUAAAUGUCCCUCUCGUGGUUUUUGCAGACGGAGGCUACCUGACAUGUUGCUACAACCAUGAUGGAGGGAGGAGACCAUACGCCUGUGCCCCCCCCCUCUCUUCCCCUCCCCUUUUUGCCGCAUGUUACAGAGCAGGUGAGAAACAUUAACAGAGGCAGCAGCUGCGACCCUCUGCUCCACACAUGUGGGCCAGAAUAUGAGCUCGCCCACUCUCAACACUGGUCAGUAAUGUUAACACUCUCCUCUCAGAACCACGGAGAGCUGUGUUAAGCACCUGGAAACAGCACAGAUUGUUAUCGAUCAAUCUCAGUUUCAUUGUUUCCAAUAAUGAUCUAUAAACAUCAAAGUUAUUCAUUAAUAAAACAAAGAAUUUUCUCA